ACGUACACUCCUGCGGGAGGCAGCAGUGGGGAAUUUUGGACAAUGGGCGAAAGCCUGAUCCAGCAAUGCCGCGUGCAGGAUGAAGGCCUUCGGGUUGUAAACUGCUUUUGUACGGAACGAAAAAGCUCCUUCUAAUACAGGGGGCCCAUGACGGUACCGUAAGAAUAAGCACCGGCUAACUACGUGCCAGCAGCCGCGGUAAUACGUAGGGUGCGCGCGUUAAUCGGAAUUACUGGGCGUAAAGCGUGCGCAGGCGGUUAUGUAAGACAGAUGUGAAAUCCCCGGGCUCAACCUGGGAACUGCAGUUGUGACUGCGUGGCUAGAGUACGGUAGAGGGGGAUGGAAUUCCGCGUGUAGCAGUGAAAUGCGUAGAUAUGCGGAGGAACACCGAUGGCGAAGGCAAUCCCCUGGACCUGUACUGACGCUCAGGCACGAAAGCGUGGGGAGCAAACAGGAUUAGAUACCCGAGUAGUCCCA
rnacentral:rRNA from 1 species